GGGUUUUUAGUAUGAUUUAGUAUGUGUGAUUGCAGAUCAUGAGGAGUUUUAAGCCUU
rnacentral:tRNA from 1 species